rnacentral:rRNA from 1 species
GACGAACGCUGGCGGCGUGCCUAAUACAUGCAAGUCGAACGCUUCUUUCCUCCCGAGUGCUUGCACUCAAUUGGAAAGAGGAGUGGCGGACGGGUGAGUAACACGUGGGUAACCUACCCAUCAGAGGGGGAUAACACUUGGAAACAGGUGCUAAUACCGCAUAACAGUUUAUGCCGCAUGGCAUAAGAGUGAAAGGCGCUUUCGGGUGUCGCUGAUGGAUGGACCCGCGGUGCAUUAGCUAGUUGGUGAGGUAACGGCUCACCAAGGCCACGAUGCAUAGCCGACCUGAGAGGGUGAUCGGCCACACUGGGACUGAGACACGGCCCAGACUCCUACGGGAGGCAGCAGUAGGGAAUCUUCGGCAAUGGACGAAAGUCUGACCGAGCAACGCCGCGUGAGUGAAGAAGGUUUUCGGAUCGUAAAACUCUGUUGUUAGAGAAGAACAAGGACGUUAGUAACUGAACGUCCCCUGACGGUAUCUAACCAGAAAGCCACGGCUAACUACGUGCCAGCAGCCGCGGUAAUACGUAGGUGGCAAGCGUUGUCCGGAUUUAUUGGGCGUAAAGCGAGCGCAGGCGGUUUCUUAAGUCUGAUGUGAAAGCCCCCGGCUCAACCGGGGAGGGUCAUUGGAAGCUGGGAGACUUGAGUGCAGAAGAGGAGAGUGGAAUUCCAUGUGUAGCGGUGAAAUGCGUAGAUAUAUGGAGGAACACCAGUGGCGA